UGCUCGCUUCGGCAGCACAAUACUAAAACUGGAACAAUACAGAGAAGAUCAGCACGGCCCCUGCGCAAGGAGGAUCUGCAAAUUCGUGAAGCGUUCCAUAUUUAA